UACAGAGGUCUCAAGCGUUGUUCGGAUUCAUUGGGCGUAAAGGGUGCGUAGGUGGCGCCGUAAGUCGGGUGUGAAAUUUCGGAGCUUAACUCCGAAACUGCAUUCGAUACUGCGGUGCUUGAGGACUGGAGAGGAGACUGGAAUUCAUGGUGUAGCAGUGAAAUGCGUAGAGAUCAUGAGGAAGACCAGUGGCGAAGGCGGCUUCCUGGCCUGUAACUGACGCUGAGGCGCGAAAGCGUGGGGAGCAAACAGG
rnacentral:rRNA from 1 species